rnacentral:rRNA from 1 species
AUGCAACAAAGUAUUUCAACUUUUUAUUCAUCAGCAAAUAACUUGCAGUAUGUUAAUUCAAACAUGUCGGUGGAUAGGGGAAUUGGCCAUGUUACUACUAGUGAUUCGGCCAAUUACCCUCAAACAUCGUAUGCUACACCUCAUGCUACGAAUUUUUCGUCACCAUACGCAAUUGUAGAUAUUCGUGAUUUGGCUCCGCACCUUCAUGCUCAUGGCCGAAUAAGUGAGAAUUCUACCAGAGCGCAUGUGUCUUUACCUAGUAACGUAGCAUAUCAUGUUGCCCCUGCACAAUUACAAAAUUUCGGCAACACACCAUUGCCGAAAGUGUCUCAAAGUAUUGGGGGGCAACCCGAUGAAGAUUGGGCUGAAAUUGGUCGAAAAAAGCUUAAAGAUAGACUAGCUGCAAUAUUUGCUGAAUUUAGACAAGAACAAGCAACCUUGCGAAUCAAAGAAAGAAAGAGUGGUGAUUCAGAUAACAAAGUUAAUUCGGUUAUUAAAAAAUCCGAAUCAAAUAGUAUGUGUACCGAAUCUAUCAAAGAAAAAGAGGAUGCCAAGGCAUUAGAGAGUCAUUCAAAAGUGGAACAAAGUAUUAUUCAAGUGAUACAACCAUCAUGCUCUCCCAACGUAAUUGAAGAGGUAUGUCCAGCAAGUGACUUGUCUAUCUUCCGAUUUGGUCGCAACUUUAUUGUCGAUGCUUUUAUAAGAAAAAUUCUCAUAAGUAAUGUUGAAAGACCAAUGAAGAAGCGUAAUUUACUUGUUAGCAACAAAAUUGUUAUAGACUAUAUUGGUCAACCCAUUGCACCAUUUAUAAAGACCGAUAAUGACUUAUUGUUGUGGCCAAAGCUUUCCCCGUUGCUUUAUCUAAAAUUCAUAUCUAGUUGGGUAGUUUUGCUUAUUUCUUACUUGGCUUGCACUUUGUCUCAAUUGAGACAUGUGUGUUCUAAAAAUUUUCGUAUUGGAAGUUUAAAGCCAAGGUUAAUUUCUUUUGAGAAAUCCGAUGCUAAUAUAAUAUCUUAUCCAAAGACACCGGAGAUAGAAUGGAAAACACAAUGUAUAGUCGAAUGGGAAGAUUCCAAAUCUGAACCAUUCGUUUGCUUAUCUUCAAAGCCGUUCACACAGCAAGAUCGGCUAGAAAGCAAGAAGUUUACCUUCAAUUCAAGCACGUGUGACCAAAUAUUUGAUUUAUUGCUAAAAAAUAAUUACAUAAGAAUUCUUGAUCACCAUGUCAAGCCAUCAAUUCAAGGACGAAUGUAUUGUAGGUUAUAUCAUUCGUUCAAACAUAAUUUUGAGGAUUGCAAUAUGUUUCGUCAAAUAGUUAAAUCGGCCAUUGAUAAAGGACGAUUGAAAUUUGUUGAGACACCAAGAGAUGACCAGUCUAUUCCGAUUGGUCUCGAUGGCAGAAAGUUUUUGCAUCGGCUGCUUCAAGCCGAUCCAUUUAAAGAGGAGGUAAAGACUGCAGGUGAUGGGGUCAAGCUUUCAAGUAAAAAAGUUGUUGAAGAGCAUAAUGAACAUAAUUUUGAGGGCAAGAAUUCCAUCGAAUCUACAAUGAAGACGCCAAGGAGUGGGGGGCAACAAGCAAAUCCAAUGAUUGGUGCAAGCACAACCAAACGAAACAAAGGCCAAAAUAAGCGCAAGUGUAAGAGAUCAAAAAUCACCUUUGCUGAACUAUUGGAUAAAUAUCAAAAGAAGAGUGAAGAGAAGAAUACUUAUCGGCCAAAUCAUGCAAAGAAACCAAGAUCACCCCCAAGGCGCAAAUAUGAGGAUCGGUAUUGGUAA